CAGUGAAUGAGGAGGCCUCUUUAUUUCAUUUUAUUCAGUUUUCCACGAUAAAAACAAUCUCAAAACUUUCCAAGACUAGACUAACAUUGAAAACAUAUUGAACGGUAUAUAUGUGAAUCGAUGCUCUAAGAACGACCAGAGAUCGUAGGUUUUAUGGUAUUUUCAAAUUUGAGGUAAUGGCAUUGGUUACUUAAGAUAUGUAAAUGGUGAAUGACUCAAAGUAAGGUAUAAGGCAUUAAAAAGUAACUAUAAUGGUCUAGUUGUUGUAACUAAGUAGGUUUAAAAAAAUCAUCAUCAUCAAUCAUUUCAAAAUUGAGCAACAUUAAAGUUGGCUCAUGUAAUAUGAUAUGAUUUUGAAAGCUUUAUAUUAUAGAAACGAAAGCGCACUGACAUGAGAGUGAGAGUAUAUUCCUUCAAAGACCAGAAUGAAUCAUGUAUACAGCACCUAAUGAAAGUGAUGAAUUGAAUAUUCCCGUUUUUGAAAAAAUAGUGUUCACAAGCAACAAGAAAUAUAUGACAUUGGAAGGCAUAGAGAGUGAGGGUUAAAUGCUAAUUGGAGCGCUUAGUAUCAGCAAUAGUGUCAGCAUCAGCAUUUCCCUGAUUACCGGGAAUUAAUAAAAAUAGAAGAAAGAACACCAAUGUUAAAUUAUAAAUUACAAUAGUUUUUCAUUCUGCUUUUAAGAAAAUUACAAGCAGGACAUUCAUGAGAAAACAUGCAAAUGCUAGUGAACCAUGCAUGUUUAUUCAUACAUGCGCGCAAGAAAGAAGUUGUAAACGGAAAUAAAGAGAUGACAUUUGAGAUAACAUGAAGCACAUAAUUUGAGAUGACAUGAUGCUAUAAAGAUAUCGGGUAUAAAUGCAAAAUGGGAAAUCCUACAUCAUUUACAGUAAGGUUCAAAAUGUGAACACAAAAAUUGGGAUAUCCAACCAAUAAAAAAUUAUUACAUUAUUGAGAAAUUAAUUUACAAUAUUCUAUAAUAAUGAAAGCAUAUAACACCAGUAUAUCAUAUUGAUUCGAAAUGUUGUCACACAAUUACAUGUGUUUCCAUGCAUAGUUUGGCAUAUUAAAACAUGAACUUAACCAAAGGACUUAGUAAAUGCUAGGACAUUAUCUGGGGGAAGACAUAUUUUCACUGCAAGAUUUCAAGAUUACACACUGAAAACUAUUGCUACAGAAAGUAAUCAGGAACUUCAUUAUAGAAUAUAUAUAACAGCAUAUGCACCCACCCACAUAAAUAACAAGUUUAUCUUAUAACAAGAACAAAAUAACACAGUAUGGAGUAGUAGCAGAGAAAUUGUUAUUUUAGGAUUGCAGACAAUGCAUUAGUACAAAGUGGUUAUGAUUCAUGAAUGAAAUCAGAUCUUAUUGAUUGACUUCAAAACAAACAAGGACUAGACAAAGUAUAUAAUAUCGUGUACACAAAUGCUACAGUCCCCAUAAAUAGUGUUUAAUAAUUAGCAAAAAAUACUGAAAGCAAAUUAAAACAUAAUUCUGUAUCUUGGAAAAAUGAAUCUCAAACAAAUACAAUUUAGUAUGUUGCACGUUAUUUGGAGAAAAAAAAUAAAUAUUUGGAAUUUGUGUACACAAGUUGAAGUCAGUGAUAUUAAUUUGAACAGUAGCACAAAUAGAGCUAUUAGGUUAUUAAACGACGCUUCUGUAGUAUGUGCACUGAGAUGGCGUACAACCUGAUAACCCUAACGUGGUACACAUACUAUGUUCAGGCUGUGUGCCAUCUUGGUGCACAUGAUGGGACGGGAUGCACACACGGGAGCACCUAUUAAACAUAUAAAGGUAUUCAAACUCAGCGAUUGUGUGAUCUCAGUGAUUUUAGGUAGGGUUAGGAACUGAAUUUUAUGAGAAUGUCUUCAAGACACGAAAAUGGAAAUCACAAAAGUAAGUGAGAUUGCAUACUAGUAGCAAGUCGAAAUGAUAAAAUAUUCGUGGCAGUAAAGGAUCAGACCAGGAGAUUGCACUCUUUCAAAUGUUUGUGUAAAUAAAAUGAUAACUAUAGGGCUGACUAUGUGCUAUUAGGUGAAAUCUAUGAAAAAGUUGAUCUGUCACAAAAAUGUUUAGAUUAGCUGGAUGGAUAACCUUGGAUGCAACAAUUGGAAUACAGUUUGCAUAAAAAACAGUAGCAAUAAAUAAACUAUAAAACAAGAUUAACAAUGAGAGUGAUUUUUAUGAUUGAUCCAAGUUACAUUAACAAAAAUAGGAAAAUUAUUUUAAUAGAAGCAAUUAUGGCAAAUAAACAACUCUUACUAACAUGGAUUAGCAAACAUACACUAAAGUUUAAUGCUUUACAUGCCCUUUACAAAUAACAAGUAUCUAAUUUCUCAUUUAACAUUUGCCUUAUAAGCUAAAAUGCUAAAUAAAUAUUAAAUAUUACUAGAUUAGAAUGGUUCCUUUAUGAAAUUUGAACAUAAUCAUAUUCCAAGAACUUGUGAAAUACUACACAAAGCUAUUGUGUUAGAAAGUAUCUUCAAUACAUUUUUGUACCAGGGUAAAGUUAACUAUAACAAAAUAGGAACCUCCGUCUGCUGAACGAUUAUUAUUACUUUUUAAUGAGUUGUCCGAAGCAAUGAUCAGCAAUGAUACCAAAUCUGAACUGAAACGUAAUUUUGAAGUACAAAGAUAGUUUUGGAGAUAAAACUAUAUCAAGUCCCAUGUCACAAUUCAUUUGUGGGCAUGUAGUGGACCUAUGGAUCGUUUUGUUAUUAUGUUGUUGUUCUUUGACACAUAUUGAAAAACCGCUUUUCUUGUUGAUUACUGGACGAAUUGCUUUGAAAUUUUCAAUGGUUUAAGAUUGAUUUGCCUGAAGGCUAUUACUUUCAUGUAUUUCCAAUAUUUCUGAGAGCUGUAUGGAAUUCAUUUCUUUUGUGCUAUGACCUCAUCAAAAAUUGCCACCAUGUGGCGGUUCAUCGUGCGCAGCGAGUCACGAGGUCAGCGAACAUUGGUGCUUCUAGUGUUUAGCGAACCGUCAAAGGUAAGCUGGACUACUGCUUCGCUCAGGCUGCAUGUCCAUAUAUUUGAGCAUUGCUCUCUUGUUGAAAGUGCAAACUAUAAAGUUCUUGAUCCCCUUUCUGGCACAAAUAGACUCACUUCAGUCAUUGCAGCAAUAUCCCUAAAGACUAGAUAACCUUAAUCUUCAUAUCUGAAAUUAUAUCAAAAUACUUGACAGAGUUUCAAGUAGUCAUUAUAGACUUAAUGUCAUUUACGAUCAAAUUUUAUAAUGGAAUUGGAAGUUCAGGGCUUUUACUACAGUUAAUUAACAUGACAUGUGUCUCGCUCGGAUUAACGAUAGGAUCUACAUAUCUAUCCCAGGAGAGAGAUAAUGGACCAGAUGGUGGAGGAAGCUGUAACCGAACAGCAGUUGUGUGAACCACCCAACUGCGACGAGGAGUCCAGUAAUCCUCUCGCACAUAACCAUGGGGUGACGAGCGUAUUCCUAACAAUCUCCACAUUUACCCUGCGAACCUACACAGACUGACAUAGUGCAGUAGUGUAAGUAAUAAGAGGUGCAAUGCCAAGCUUAUUCCGCUCACAGGCUUAGCACGAUGAGCCACACCACUGCUAAUUUGAAGUUAGACAAUUCAGCAAUUAAAUAUAUCAAAUGGUUAGAAUGCAUAUUAACUUUUUGCUUAGGUCUGCGGAGUUCACUCAAACAGUCAAAUGGCUUUAGCAGUUUCACUUUUUAGUUUAUCGCUUGCUCCACACAAUGCUGCAAUGUUACCAGUCCCAAUUUGACAUACCGUGUUCGUGCCUACAUCUUGCCACACAAUA